AUGCAAAUGACUGAAGCUACAAAUCACUGUCAAUGGCAUGUGCAGAGUAAGCUACCCUAACACCAAGUAGGUGGCAGUCAAAGAUAAGAAAACGCAGGGCUCUAAGAAAACGA